rnacentral:misc_RNA from 1 species
CACCCCCCAAGCUUUGCUUGAUGUUGGGCGAUGCCUAGGCACGCCCCAAACUCCUGGGCGCCUGCCGCCGGCCGCUAGCGUAGCAAAUCUACUCGCUCGCGUGUCCGUCGGGAGGCCGCCCCUGACUUUAAAACUUCAAAA